GGGGGAUAUUGCACAAUGGGGGAAACCCUGAUGCAGCGACGCCGCGUGGAGGAAGAAGGUUUUCGGAUUGUAAACUCCUGUCGUUAGGGACGAUAAUGACGGUACCUAACAAGAAAGCACCGGCUAACUACGUGCCAGCAGCCGCGGUAAAACGUAGGGUGCAAGCGUUGUCCGGAAUUACUGGGUGUAAAGGGAGCGCAGGCGGGAAGACAAGUUGGAAGUGAAAACCAUGGGCUCAACCCAUGAAUUGCUUUCAAAACUGUUUUUCUUGAGUAGUGCAGAGGUAGGCGGAAUUCCCGGUGUAGCGGUGGAAUGCGUAGAUAUCGGGAGGAACACCAGUGGCGAAGGCGGCCUACUGGGCACCAACUGACGCUGAGGCUCGAAAGUGUGGGUAGCAAACAGGAUUAGAUACCCUGGUAGUCCACACCGUAAACGAUGAUUACUAGGUGUUGGAGGAUUGACCCCUUCAGUGCCGCAGUUAACACAAUAAGUAAUCCACCUGGGGAGUACGACCGCAAGGUUGAAACUCAAAGGAAUUGACGGGGGCCCGCACAAGCAGUGGAGUAUGUGGUUUAAUUCGACGCAACGCGAAGAACCUUACCAAGUCUUGACAUCCUGCGACGAUGCUGGAAACAGUAUUUUCCUUCGGGACGCAGAGACAGGUGGUGCAUGGUUGUCGUCAGCUCGUGUCGUGAGAUGUUGGGUUAAGUCCCGCAACGAGCGCAACCCUUACUGUCAGUUACUACGCAAGAGGACUCUGGCAGGACUGCCGUUGACAAAACGGAGGAAGGUGGGGAGGACGUCAAAUCAUCAUGCCCUUUAUGACUUGGGCUACACACGUACUACAAUGGCGUUAAACAAAGAGAAGCAAGACCGCGAGGGGGAGCAAAACUCAGAAACAACGUCCCAGUUCGGACUGCAGGCUGCAACUCGCCUGCACGAAGUCGGAAUUGCUAGUAAUCGUGGAUCAGCAUGCCACGGUGAAUACGUUCCCG
rnacentral:rRNA from 1 species